rnacentral:rRNA from 1 species
UGCGGAUCAUCGAAUUAAAUAACAUGCUCCUCCGCUUGUGCGGGCCCCCGUCAAUUCCUUUGAGUUUCACCCUUGCGGGCGUACUCCCCAGGUGGAAUACUUAACGCUUUCGCUUAGCCGCUAACUGUGUAUCGCUAACAGCGAGUAUUCAUCGUUUAGGGCGUGGACUACCAGGGUAUCUAAUCCUGUUUGAUCCCCACGCUUUCGUGCCUCAGCGUCAAUUAAACCAUAGUAAGCUGCCUUCGCAAUCGGUGUUCUGUGACAUAUCUAUGCAUUUCACCGCUACUUGUCACAUUCCGCCUACCUCUAGUCCAUUCAAGCUCAUCAGUAUCAAAGGCACUGCGAUGGUUGAGCCACCGUCUUUCACCCCUGACUUAAUAAGCCGCCUACGCACCCUUUAAACCCAAUAAAUCCGGAUAACGCUUGGAUCCUCCGUAUUACCGCGGCUGCUGGCACGGAGUUAGCCGAUCCUUAUUCCUUCGGUACAUUCAGCUAAAUACACGUAUCUAGGUUUAUUCCCGAAUAAAAGCAGUUUACAACCCAGAGGGCCGUCUUCCUGCACGCGGCAUGGCUGGUUCAGAGUUGCCUCCAUUGACCAAUAUUCCUCACUGCUGAAUC